GUCUUAAUGGAAAUUAGAGAUGGAGGUUAACAUAUCCCUUGAUAUGGUAGGAACAAUAUUCUUAUAUAUACAUGCAAUAAACAUGCCUAUGUUUAUUGGGAUAACAAUAUUAACAUAUAUUU